CCUACGGGAGGCAGCAGUGGGGAAAUUUGGACAAUGGGCGCAAGCCUGAUCCAGCAAUGCCGCGUGAGUGAAGAAGGCCUUCGGGUUGUAAAGCUCUUUUGUCAGGGAAGAAACGGUGGGAGCUAAUAUCUCCUGCUAAUGACGGUACCUGAAGAAUAAGCACCGGCUAACUACGUGCCAGCAGCCGCGGUAAU
rnacentral:rRNA from 1 species